GGUUGUGGCUCAGCGGUAGAGGGCUCACCUAGCAUGUGCAAGACCCUGGGUUCAAUUCUCAGCACCA
rnacentral:tRNA from 1 species